GAUGAACGCUGGCGGCGUGCCUAACACAUGCAAGUCGAACGAAGAGGCCCCUUCGGGGGUACUUCAGUGGCGGACGGGUGAGUAACACGUAGGUGACCUGCCCCGAGGCAGGGGAUAACGGCUCGAAAGGGCCGCUAAUACCCAAAAGGAUCGCGAGUCGCAUCGCGAUCAGAGUUACGGCGUCUCGGGAGGGGCCUGCGGCCCAUCAGCUAGUUGGCAGGGUAACGGCCUACCAAGGCGACGACGGGUAGGGGACCUGAGAGGGUGACCCCCCACAUUGGCACUGACACACGGGCCAAACUCCUACGGGAGGCAGCAGUGAGGAAUAUUGCGCAAUGAGCGAAAGCUAGACGCAGCAACGCCGCGUGGACGAUGAAGGCCUUCGGGUCGUAAAGUCCUUUUCAGAGGGACGAGUGAGGACGGUACCUCUGGAAUAAGUCACGGCUAACUACGUG
rnacentral:rRNA from 1 species